rnacentral:rRNA from 1 species
UGGGGAAUAUUGCACAAUGGGCGCAAGCCUGAUGCAGCCAUGCCGCGUGUGUGAAGAAGGCCUUCGGGUUGUAAAGCACUUUCAGCGGGGAGGAAGGCGAUAAGGUUAAUAACCUUGUCGAUUGACGUUACCCGCAGAAGAAGCACCGGCCAACUCCGUGCCAGCAGCCGCGGUAAUACGGAGGGUGCAAGCGUUAAUCGGAAUUACUGGGCGUAAAGCGCACGCAGGCGGUUUGUUAAGUCAGAUGUGAAAUCCCCGGGCUCAACCUGGGAACUGCAUUCGAAACUGGCAGGCUAGAGUCUUGUAGAGGGGGGUAGAAUUCCAGGUGUAGCGGUGAAAUGCGUAGAGAUCUGGAGGAAUACCGGUGGCGAAGGCGGCCCCCUGGACAAAGACUGACGCUCAGGUGCGAAAGCGUGGGGAGCAAACAGG